ACGUAGGGUGCGAGCGUUAAUCGGAAUUACUGGGCGUAAAGGGUGCGCAGGUGGUUUUGUAAGUCAGAUGUGAAAUCCCCGGGCUUAACCUGGGAAUUGCGUUUGAAACUACAAGACUAGAGUGUGGCAGAGGGGGGUGGAAUUCCAUGUGUAGCAGUGAAAUGCGUAGAUAUGUGGAGGAAUACCGAUGGCGAAGGCAGCCCCCUGGGAUAACACUGACGCUCAUGCACGAAAGCGUGGGGAGCAAACAGGA
rnacentral:rRNA from 1 species